rnacentral:rRNA from 1 species
UGGGGAAUAUUGCACAAUGGAGGGAACUCUGAUGCAGCGACGCCGCGUGAACGAAGAAGGCUUUCGAGGCGUAAAGUUCUUUUAUAUGGGAAGAUAAUGACGGUACCAUAAGAAAAAGCCCCGGCUAACUACGUGCCAGCAGCCGCGGUAAUACGUAGGGGGCUAGCGUUGUCCGGAAUCACUGGGCGUAAAGGGUUCGCAGGCGGAAAUGCAAGUCAGGUGUAAAAGGCAGUAGCUUAACUACUGUAAGCAUUUGAAACUGCAUAUCUUGAGAAGAGUAGAGGUAAGUGGAAUUUUUAGUAUAGCUGUAAAAUGCGUAGAUAUUAAAAAGAAUACCGGUGGCGAAGGCGACUUACUGGGCUCAUUCUGACGCUGAGGAACGAAAGCGUGGGUAGCAAACAGC